UAUGGCCACAUCACAUUGAAGCAUCAGUUCCUGUGUGAUCACUAAAGUUAAGCAACAUCGAGCCUGGUCAGUACUUAGAUGGGUAACUGCUUGAGAAUACCAUGUGUUGUAAG